rnacentral:rRNA from 1 species
GACGAAGGGGGCUAGCGUUGUUCGGAAUUACUGGGCGUAAAGCGAGUGUAGGCGGUUGUUCAAGUCAGGUGUGAAAGCCUUGAGCUCAACUCAAGAAAUGCACUUGAUACUGGAUGACUAGAGGACCGGAGAGGAUAGUGGAAUCCCAGUGUAGUGGUGAAAUACGUAGAGAUGGGAAGAACACCAGUGGCGAAGGCGGCUAUCUGGACG